ACGGGGUGGGACUGGAUGAUCUCUGAGGUCCCCUUCAAUCCAAGCCAUUCUGUGGUUCCAUGAAAAAGAUCAAAAUUAUGCUCCCCAUAACCAAGCUUGAUGCAUCCUGAGAAAAACCUUCCCCAACUCAUUUUUACUGACAGCUGGAAUCCCAAACAAGAUUUAAAGCCUAAUGGAGCGAGACGCUCCGUAUUGUAAUUAACGCUGAUCCAGAAGGAAAAUACUGGAACUAUAAUUAGCGUGUAGCCAGUUGCAGAGGAAAGUGAUUACGCACAAGCCGGAGGCCCGGGUAGUUUGCGUGCCAGGGAAACAGCAGCUUGGGCUGGGAGCUGUGCUGUCCCACAGAGGGCAGCAGCAGGCAGGAGAUUGGCUGGUGCUGCUCAGCCGUGGCUUGAAGCCACAUUCGUGGUGAAUCAUGGCACAAACAACGCCGGGGAGGGCUGCAGGAAUGUCUGGGUGUGCUGUGCAAGGGUUUUUCCAGGCAGGUAGGCCUCCCCAAGCUGGCUGGCUGCAUCCAGAGCGCUCCGUCACCUUCGCUCCGCUCCUACAUUUGUUUGGUUUCUCUCCAGUGUGUCUCUGUGAACCGUGCAAUGUUUGCAGAUGUGCUUGUGUGCAAGAGAUACAGCGUUUCCCUUCUUGCUGCAGGAAGGCCUGUCUCCAGUGAUCAAAGACAACUGCAGGAGGAGAAUGAGGAAAUAAAGUGUUGGAGAAUGGAAUAGAAAACCUGCUUGGAAGAUCUCUGCUUGGAGUGAGACUCAAGGAAACACAUAUCCAUGUUUGCUGCCUCUGAUUCCCCUGUUGUUAGUGUGGGGGUAGCAGAAGGUAACCUCCUACUGUUAGGAGUAGGGAUAGAAGCCCAAUUCCUGGCUGUGGCCUGGGGGCUGAUGUAUUAUACAUCUGGGUAAGCCAAAACUAACAGAGGGAGAGGAAGAUCUGCCAAGUCACAGUCAGAAGAGUCUGGUAGUCCUUGAGGACCACCAGGGGGAGCAUUGAUGAACUCAUUCUCUGCACUGCUUCUACCUGGAAAAGAUACUCUACUGAUAACAUGCACUUGGGAUUGAAGUGUUGAGAGAGGCACUCGAGCAGGUGAGCAGUUUAACCUGUUCUCACUCCAGCCCCGACUUGCUGUCUUAUCUAUAGUGGAUUGAAGAGAUGUAGUUACAAAACACAAGUAUUGGAAAAAAAAUGCCUUCAGAGCCUGGAUUUUGCAGAAGUACAGUUUGGCUUUAAAGAACAGCAGGAGGGAAAAGAAGAAAAAUCCUAUUGCUAAGGCAUUUUUCACAGGCAGCCAAGCAUGGUUUGAGCAGAGACCAGUGACAUGAUACGAGGAAUCCUGGAGUGGAUCGGGGAGCCCAGAUGCAGCAAAUCCCUGAGCCCGACUGACAAACACAUCCCUGCAUUGCGGUGACGAUGAAGUGUGUGACUUAGCAAAGCAUUUACUGGGGAUGUGUAGUUCUGCAGCAGCCUGGGGAGCUCUGAGAUGCAGCCUUGCGCAGUCUCUCCUCCCGACACAGCAUGGGGAGGAGGCAUUCCCAUUGCAGGGUGCCCCAGUGCCUUGUGCACGUGCUCUUGGCUUGUGCUUGGCAGCUGGGUAAGCUGAAUAGACACUUUUUGGCCUGGAAUUGAAAAUCCCAUGUUGCCAGCAGUCCUGGUUUGGCUGCAACUCCCUCAGGUUCCCUUGGAAACUUUAGUGCUGGCUUGAAUCUGGACUGCGAAAUAGCAGGAGCAGUGGCUCUGCCUCCAGCCUGGCCAUUCAUCUUUCUCUGCUUGCUGUGGAUCCAGUGCCAGGGCACAGCAUGCAUAGGGCUGGAAAUAAAAAGGGAACUGAAACCCAGGUGGAGGUAUAGAGUUGUGUGUGUAUUUCUCAGGGAUCAUCCCAGCCUUUUGUGCACUCUAGCAUGGUGUGGCAGAUUUUGUCCCUAGGGACAGCUUUGGGAUAGUGUGGGCUGGGUAGAAGACUCAAAGAGUCAUUGAGUGUUUAACUCUGUGGUUGAGAGCUGUGCCCUGCUCCUCGCUCUCAGUGCCAGGAGCAAAACAGCUCAGUCCUGUAAGCCUGGAUCUCACUUUUGAAGUGCAGUCCCCUGCAGCAGCUGCUGGAGGCAGCCGGAGCCUUUGUUUACCCGCUAAUCCUCCCAUUUCCACUUUUCCUCUCUGACAAGGGAAAAUGUCGCAAAACAGGUUGAAGGUGAGUGGGUAUGUGGUGAUGUGAGCGUGUGCUUGGCUGAAACUGGGAAAGGUUCUGUUUGCGGGGCAGGGCUGAGCAUGCAGUGUGACUCAGUGUCCCAGGCUUCAUGUUGUGGGCUGCUGGCCAUGUUUGACCUCCUGGCUUGUGGGGUGGUAGAGGCAGUGUGGUGAUGAGGCAGGGACCAUAGAACGAUGGAAUACUCUGAGUUGGAAAGGACCCAUAAGGAUCAUCAAGUCUAAUUCCUGGUUCUACACAGGACCACUCAAUCAAAUCAGACCCUAUGUCUGAGAGCCCCGUCAAGGUGCUUCUAUAGCUCUGGCAAACUCAAGGCCAUGACCACUGCCCUGGGGAGCCUGUUCCAACCCUGUGCUGAAGAACUUUUUCAUGAUAUUCAGCCUGAAACCCUGGAAAAACAGAAGGGAAUCCAGUAAGUAACUGGUUCACAGCAGCCUGCAUUUAGGCCAUGCCUUGACUUUGGACUCAUCUUUGGGCUCAGAGACCUCUUAGCUCCGGUGAUCAUCACCCAUCCAUUUGCUGGUGGGCACUGGGCUCUCUCCACCUCUCCCUGAGCUGGUUCCUUGGGGAGCUGUGUCUCCAUCAGAGCCAAUGAGGAAAGAUUCACACCCCUUUCCUAAUGAGACAUAGUGAGUAAUGGAGAUGUUCCUCAGGGACAGUGUUGUAAGCGGUGCUACAUGCAUGGUCAGGACCAGAGAGCAGGUUUCCACUAGCUUCUCCCUGCUGUUGUGCAGCAGCAGACACUGAUGCAUGUCCCAUCUUGACAGCAGUGAUAAGCUGUGUGGUGGUGGGAGCUUAUGUCACAGCUGCAGCCACCAUUCCUCUCAUGGUUCUUAUCAAAUCUCCUGGCUUGCCAAGUCUGUUGCACGCCGGAUGGCAGUGUGUUUGGUUCUCCAUGUGAUAAGAUUUGUCUGGUGUGAGUCGUGUCCCAAGCAUUUUGCUUGUAGUCCUCUCCCCCCUCUUGGGAGUGAGUGAUCUCUGUCUAGGAAUUGGACUGCAAUUAGGGCAGUGUCUGCUUCGAGGCAGGAUGGGCUACAGAGGGGAGCAGCGCAAAGCAGCCCAGAGAGCAACCAGCGCCUGGCCUGGCUCUGCUAGCAGUAAUGGGGAAAACAGCAGCAGCAGAAGGAGACAUGGGCUGGAGGGAAGGGAGCCAGAGAGAGCAAAUGGCGCAGCACGACCACUGAGAACGCAAAAUAAACAUCCUUUGUGGCCAAGCAAGGGCUUUAUAAACUACUGACUGUCUUGGCGGCUGCAUGAGAAGGGUCAGAAAUGGGAAUAAAGGCUCAUGGGAGCAUCAAGAGAAAGGACAGCAUUCCAUAUGGGACUGAUCAGCCGAACAGCAUGUCCUCAAGUGCAUGACACGUCCCUCAGUGCCGAGUAUAGCCCUAGAAAGGGAGGUUCGAUGUCCCAGCUGCUGCUGAUCACCCUGUGGUACUGUGCAAGUGCUCACUGACCCUGCAGGUCAGCUGCUGGCUUUGAGAGCUUUGGGAGCUCCAAGCUAGGCUGUGGCUGUAGUUCUACUCAGGCCUGCAUGAGUGGAGCCUCUGCACUGUUCCCUGGAGUUUCUGCAGUGCUUUCAGUCUGUCUCUUCUCCAUGUGGCUUGCUCUGGAGGUCCAUCUGUGCAUUUCUGGUGCCCUUUGCUCUGGUAGCAGGGAAGGCAGGAACAGGGAGCGUCAGUUCUGUGGGCCUGGGCUUUUCUUAGGUUUCCUUUAGAUGCUUGCAGUUCUCUCUUUAGAAGCCCAUUUCCCGCACUGAGUCACUCAUUUUGGGAUUUUGCUUCCCUUUUUUUAGAGCUUUUCUUUUCCAAUUCCAUCUGGUUUGGUUUUUACUGUUUCAUUUUGCAGGACCAUCAAAGGGAAUGCAUUCUAGCUAAUUUCAGAGCAGCAGAAGCAGAUAGUUUCAACUUGACAGCUCCUUCCUCUGCAGACCUUAGCCACAGCCUUGGAUCCAGAGCCCCUCCAGACCCUCUCAAAGCUGAUGGGUGGAUGAGCCACCCUUGGCAUCGCUCCUCAUGCGUGUGACUCAGACAGAUUCUGCUUGUCUGAAGGAUUCCUGCAAAUCCUCAGAGUUGUCCAACCCGCCUCGGCGCAGCGCUGGAACCUGUGAGAAAGGCGCUGGGAGUGAGCUGUGCAGCACCAGCAGCCUUGUUCCGUGGCACUGGGCAUGGAGGCUGUGCCUGCAUUCUCACUGCAUGCCCUGGCUGCGGUGUGGGGCUGGACCCCAGCAUUGCUGCUCUGAGGUUGGUGGAAGGAGGUCUCCGUGGACAUUUUGUGUAUGGCGCAAUUCUGCUUUUCUCUUCUGCUUGUUCAAGUUCUAGUCAGCUGGCCUCAUGCUGUCUCUGCUGUGGGAAGUGCUCUCCUUGAAUUCAGGGAAGCUGGGCUUGGGGCGUCUUGGAAGUCCCCUUGUUUCCAUUGUUGGAAGGAGACCAUUCAUUUUUAAUGCCUCUGGUUUUUGGAUUUAAUUGGAACCACCCAAUGGCUAAUUUUUUUCAGAGGCACUCAAUGCCUUAGUAACUUCACUAAUAGUAGAUGGUGCAAUGAGAGAUCAGCAUCUCCAACAUCUGAGCUACAUUAGCCAGGUGAGCCCAGCUUCCUUUCAGCUUCUUUGCAAGGACAAGCUUGCAAAGCUGAUUUUUAAUUUUAGAAAAUCUGCCCAUGGGAGUGAGAGUCCAAACAAGAAGAGUUGUUUCAGGGUGUAAGCUUGUGUGUCUAUGCCUCAGUUUUCCCGUGUGCAAGAUGAGGAGCCUGCUGUCUUCCUUACUCAGUGGUGAAAGAAAGCUGUUUGGGAUCAUAAUCUUUUGGCAUAAAAUGCAUGUGGAACACAAAACCUCAUGAAGCUGAUUCUUUGUAGGAAGCUCUGUGGAAGAGACUUUACCUGUUUAGCUUAUAUACAACAAAGCAGGGAGAUCCCAAAAAAUAUGAGAGUGAAAAAAGCCAUGAGCUUUCUACGCAUCUUCUCCU